CUGGGCUUGACAUAUCCAGGAUCGGNNCAGAGAUGCCUUUUUCCCUUGUGGUCGGUAUACAGGUGGUGCAUGGUUGUCGUCAGCUCGUGUCGUGAGAUGUUGGGUUAAGUCCCGCAACGAGCGCAACCCUUGUCUUAUGUUGCCAGCACGUNAUGGUGGGGACUCAUGAGAGACUGCCGGGGUNAACUCGGAGGAAGGUGGGGAUGACGUCAAAUCAUCAUGCCCCUUAUGUCCAGGGCUUCACACAUGCUACAAUGGUCGGUACAGAUGGGNUGCNANACCGUNAGGUGGAGCNAAUCUCUUAAAGCCGGNCUCAGUUCGGAUUGGGGUCUGCAACUCGACCCCAUGAAGUCGGAGUCGCUAGUAAUCGCAGNUCAGCACGNGCGA
rnacentral:rRNA from 1 species